UAUCCGAACAGAGCUGAGAACAUGUACAUGACCAGCAUGGCCAGGAUGGACAGGUUGGACACGUUCUGCAUCUUUCUCCGGGAGCGACUGGGGAAGACGCAAGUUGAGAUUCAUUAGCAGCAAGUGAACGGAGUACAACGACAAGAUGGCCACACCCAAGAGAAGGACUCUACGUUGGGAUAGAAACCAGUCAGACAUUAGCAUUGGGCUAUACCAUACGGAAAUCGUACACAAAUCACAAUGAACAACACUUGGAGGGGAAUCAACCGGGUUACAAAACACCCUACAUAAUAACUUUCACUAGUUUCUCCCCCCUAGUCACUCUCACUCUGUUUUCACCAUUACCUAUUUAGGGAGGUAAACUUAGCUUUAGAACUGCAGUCGUAUUUAACUUGAGGGGGGGAGGGGUCCGGAUGCUUUCUCUGGCGUGCAUUUAUUGCCUAUUUGAGAAGACCAUGUUCCAAUGCCUAAAGCACAUGUCAAAGACACUAUCAUGCCAUGUCAAUAUAUGUGCCAGCUCAGACCAAAUAGUGGUAGAUUAAUGCGUGUCAGUGCUUAGAGACCAGACUAAACUCUGAGCUAUUAUAUAAGUCAAUAAAGUAACUUUAGAGUUAUUCCGGGAGGGGAUGUAUGGGUUUCCCGCUUCGGCUGAACAUGAUCAGCCUUAAAUCCUUACACUUAGAGGUCACAAGGGGCCUUCGUCAUCAAGGAGCCUCUAACCCAAUCAUCCAGCAUCCAAUGGGCUCCAACGUAUUAAACUAACUGUUUAAUGACAUAUGUUGUUUUUGAAUUGAGAGUUGCACCUCUACCCCUCACUGUACUAUUGUUGGCCAGAGACAGGCAAGCAGGUGAAUGACUGUAUCAAAUGGGUGUUAUGUGAUACCACCUUACAGAAUGUCAGGGAGUCCCAGAAUAGAUGGUGGGGAAGUAAGAUGUCGCAACUGAUGAGGGGGACUGAUGUUAGGGGACUCCCUGUUAAACUCUUUAUAAUCAUCACGUAAGUAGGUUCCUACUCUACUUCCUUGUCUCCUGUCCUUUAAUCACUUUCAUGGAUAUAUUUUUGUUUAGUGAAAGUACUCAGUCACCAAAUUCUUUCUUGGUAAAGCCCAGCCAUAUACAGUAGAAACAGGACUGAAAUAAAGCAUCACCAUCCUGUUUUGGACAUUUGUGAAACCUGGUUAUAGGGACUAAUUGAACAGACUCUUAUGGACCUUAAACACAAUCCAGGGAAGCUGGCAAUGGAUUGUGUGAUGGGGUUCCGAGGCGGGGCUGUGACAUGGUUGUUCACGCCACCUUUGCAUAAAUGCUGGGGAUGGCAUGUCAUAAAAAGGUCCUGACUUCGA